rnacentral:rRNA from 1 species
AUAGCGUAUAUUAAAGUUGUUGCAGUUAAAAAGCUCGUAGUUGAACUUCAGACCUGGCUGGGCGGUCAGCUUAUCGGCGUGUACUGUCUGGCUGGGCCUUACUUCUUGGUGAGCUGGUGUGCCCUUUAUUGGGUGCGUCGGUGAACCAGGACCUUUACCUUGAGAAAAUUAGAGUGUUCAAAGCAGGCCUAUGCCCGAAUACAUUAGCAUGGAAUAAUAAAAUAGGACGUGCGGUUCUAUUUUGUUGGUUUCUAGAGUCGCCGUAAUGAUUAAUAGGGAUAGUUGGGGGCAUUGGUAUUGAGUCGCUAGAGGUGAAAUUCUUGGAUUGACUCAAGACCAACUAUUG